GGAAACGUGUUCUGGUGCUCUGAGCAUCCAGCCAAUGUGCCAGAGAGGCCAUGCUGAGUGGAGACACUGGGACUCUUCAAGGAUGUCAGUGGAUUGUGUGCUUAUGUGCAUCUUUGUGGUGACGAGAAGAGUCCGGGGAAAGGAGGGAGGGUCCCCCAGCUUCACCAGGAACAUGUAAAUCAUGCAGAGAUGCCCCUCUGCCUUCCUGCUCCUUAGCCACUAGAGACCACAGCACCAAAGCUCCCUCUAAUGAGGUGAGGGCUGGGCUUGAACCUGGGUCACGCACAUGGCAAAGCAGCAAACCAUCCAAGUAAGCUAUUUUGCCACCUCACUUUCCUUCUGCUUGUCAUUUCAGGCUAGGCUGAGUCAGCAAGCUAUAAAUUCCACUGGCCUGAGUGUGAGGAAUGUAAAAUGACUGGGGGGUGUUGGUGGGGGAGUCUUUGUUUUUAAGGCAAGGGCACAGAAGCCAGCCAGCUGGACAUAGAAGACAGAACUCACCCCAGGUGUCAGCCAACAGAGAUUUGAAAUUAGAGUCUGGCGUCUACCUGUAUCUAAGUUUGAAGAACUCUGCUGGUAAGCAGAUAAGCCUGGCUAAGGAGUUGACUGGAAUUUGCUAGAGACCUGAGAUGACACAGUGUGGAUUUGCCAAGAGAAGUCAUUGACAUGUUUAUGUGAUGAAGGGAGAUCAUCUUGGCAAGGGGAAGCAUCUGUGCAGGAGCUGAGGAGUUGACGGUGGGCAGGGGGAAAAGGGGUCCAAGAAGGUCAUCAGGAGAAAAUCAGCUGGUAUCCAGAGAAGCCUGCCUGGCAUGGCCACCAAAGGCAGCCACUGGAGAAAGACCAUGCCCUCCAGAGACCUGUAGCCAGAUGCCAGCCUUGGCACUUCUGCUGGGGCUUGUGGUGGGGAUGUGAACUUGUGGUGCCUGACUCAUGGAAGGAUUUAAAGAUUUAAUGUCAGGUGGAGGGAUUUCUGUCUUCCAGGCUCUCACCAAGGCUCUCUGGGUUCCUGGCUCUGUGACAGUGGCCUUGAUCCCCAAUGUGAGGGAACUAGGUUUCAGCCUCAUGCUACAGGAAAUGAGAAGCCAGGGGUGUGAGGGCUCUCCAGGUUCUCUUUGAGUGGAAGCUGUUAUUUUCAUUUAUUUAUUUACUGUGCUUCCACUAUCAAUUUAUUGAGGAAUUACUGAUUAAUUUACAGGAUUAUUGUUGCUACAAAGGUACACUUUCAUAUCUCUCUAAGAUAAGGAUAUUUCACCCUCUACCACACCUUCAUCCUGCUCCAGUUUAGGGACUUAGAUCUCCACCCUCCCCUUAGUGCUCCUCCCUUCUUCCUUUGGGGCCCCCAAAUCUGCAGUGAUAACCAC